UAGCUGCGGUAUAUUGACCGUACUAAGGUAGCAUAAUAAUUAGGUUAUUUAUUGUGAUCUUGAAUGAAUGGUUUGACGCAAGAGUGGCUUUCUUAUUUUGUUUUAUGAAUUUAAAUUAUUAGUAAAAAUGCUUAUGUUUUUAUUAAACGAGAAGACCCUAUUAAGUUUUAUAUUAUUUUUUUUAUAAUUUUAGUGUUUUAUUGAUUGAUUAAUAUUUUGUUGGGGCGAUAGUUAAUGAAAAUGCAUUAUAAGUUUUUUACUUUUAUAAAAGUUUUUGAACCAUUAAUAAUGAUUAAUAGAAUUAAUUACUAUAGGGAUAACAGCAUAAUUAUAUUGAAGAGUUCUUAUCGAUGAUAUAGUUUAUGACCUCGAUGUUGAAUCAAUUUUUCUUAUGGAUGAAGAUGUUUUUAUAGAUAGUCUGUUCGACUAUUAAAUAUUUACG
rnacentral:rRNA from 1 species